AGAAGGGAUUGCAUUGUGGCCGUCCCUUCUGAAAGCUAUCCAGAAAACUGAUGUGAGAAAACUCGAGUUAUUCAGCUACAAAUAAUAGCGAUUUGAAAAUACAAAGUGUUCGAGUGCUCACUGCUGAAAGAGUCAUCCAGCUCUUGGUUCAGUCAAGAAGCCGGCGUCUUCAUGGCUUACAGGAGUGGUCUUUCUAGUCUGAGUCUCUGGUCCUGCCAGCCUUGAAGUUUGGAGAAACCAAAAGGGAGAUGCCAUGUUCCUGUGACUCUGGAGCCAUGGAGUCCGGGCCGACGAGCCCUCCCGGGGGAACCCAGUGCCUAUGGUGGGAGCACCAUGGCACUCCACACCGGCCGCCUGCUGGGCUUAUCUCACUCCCUGAAACUGGACUUGCUCGUCCAGCCUGGACAGAGUGGCAGCACUGGCGGGAGCGAGCCUCUUCUGUGGGUCAUUGGACAGUGAUGACGCGUUUCUGUAUAGAAAGCAUGCCAUGACUUUCCCGACCUAGUAGAUUCCUGGAAGUGAAUGCACGCAGUGGGGGCCUUGAGGCCCUUCUAGGAGCGCUCCUUUGAAGAAAAGUGGCAGCAGCUGUGCUUUAAGCUAGCUACUCCGAAAGGGAGGUGCAGAAGCAGUGGUGAGGUUUCCACGGGGAGAGCUGGGCUCAGCCUCAUUUGGGCAACUCUGCUACGCCUUGUUCCAGUCCUACGGUGAUCACAGAAUAAAGAGAGAAGCCAGAGCAGCUGCA